rnacentral:lncRNA from 1 species
AGACACCCACUUGACGUACUUUAGAGUGGAUGACUGUGAUAUGGAGAGAGGUAGCGAAGAAGUAAAUAUUCUAGUUGAUACAUCAAAUACUGAAACUACUCCUCUUUGGACAAUCAAGUACGAGCUAUUGUCCGCAUUAGCCAAUACACCCAUAGUUCUAUCAUUAGAAUCACUACCUGCACUAGAAUUAAAGCCACUUCUAGUCACACUCAAGUAUGCAUUCCUAGGACCUAAUGACAUCCUCCCAGUGAUCAUUGCAUCAGACUUGACCCC